rnacentral:rRNA from 1 species
AUGUUUGGUAUUCAGUACAAAACUUACUCUGCAAGUACUUACCUCUUUCCAAAUCUCCAUUUUAAACAGUUUUGGGCGUUUGUUCAAUUUUACCGAACUCCUGAACACCGUAUAUUUGUACGGCAACAGCUGGUGAAGCAGCUUGGAUCUCAUUGGCUCAUCAUGAGGUAUAUACUGGAUAUGUCCCUAUGGAUUACAGAGAAUAUCUUAAGAAGAUGCCAAAGUCAGUGCCUGCUCCUUUUCACUAUUUAUUUACCAGUAAAUAUUUAUCAAUUAGAGUGGAAGGAUGAACUGUCCUUACAUUUCUAUGCUUAUUACUGA